CCUAGUUAUUUGAGAGACAGAGAUGGAGAAGAUAGUGAUUUCAGGACAGCUCAGACAAAAAGUAAGCAAGACCCAUCUUUAUCAAUAAAUGGGCAUGCCAGUGCUGUUAUCCUAUUAUGGGAUAGGUGUAAAUAGGGGGAUUCAGUAUGGCUUGGGCUUGGGCAAAAGAUGCAAGAUCCUAUCUGAAAACAUAACUAAAUGGCUGGGGGCAUAGCUGAAGUGGUAGAGCACCUGUAGGCACAAGGCCCUGAGUUCAAACCCCAGUGGUCAUCACACACGCAAAAAGAAUUCUUUAAUUUUGGCAGUCAGUCAGAAAGCCCAGUUUCUUUCCUCUAACCAUCACAUUCACUCUUUCUUUCACUGAUUUGUUCACUCACUAUUCAAAUAGUAUCUCUUCAUGGGGGCCCAUGUUGGGUACAGAAUACCUAAAGAUGGAUAGCACAAUUCAGGAUUUCCAGUGGCUUACAUCACAACAACAAGUUACGUGCAAAACAGGCAAUGUUUUCUGUAGGUAUUGCUGUAAUAAUUUUUCACAUCUGCAUGUGAGAGGUAUUCUUAAGAAGGUCAUACUUUAACUUGAGUAGUUCUAAGCUCUAUGCAUAGAGACAGGAGUAGAAGGUGCAGAUUACAACAGACAAACGGUGUGGAGGAAGUUUACAAGAGGAUGUGACUGACUGAACAAAAUAAAGGAAUUCCAAACAAGUAAAUUCUGAAGGGACUGAGUUCCUUUGAUAAUUUUAAAAUGUUAAAAUUUCCUGCAACACUUUGGAAUUUCUGUCAUUCAAGAAAAGCAACAUCUUCUUCAAACAAGACGUGUUUCAUGAGCACGAGAGCUUUAAUUCUACUUCUCAUGUAGGUUACAUGUGACUGCUUCGUAUUUUUAUAUAUUUUUGAGUUGGAUUCUCAUCUCUCCAUCUGGCUUGAGGGAAUUUUGUUUCUUUAGCGGUCUUUGUCAUGGAAGAUCAUAUUACCCUUAGAGAAGCAGAGUGUUUGUGAGAAACCCCACAGUGUAACCAACACUUCACAAGGCUUUGUGUUAAUUUAGUGGCAGCUGUGCUCAAGAGUGUCAUAAAAACCAACUGAAGGUUUGUUUUUGAAACAUAAUUUGAUUAUGUAGCAGGGAUGAGUGGGCAAAGGUUAGUUAAUCUGUUAUACUGUAGGUAGGACUGGAUCCAAGAUGAAAGUGUGUUUGUCUUAUUUUAUCUACCUUUGCAUUUCAUUUAUCCUGUGUUGAACAGUGUUCUGAUGAUAAAUUAGUAACUUUUCAGUUAUUUUUUUCUUUGUGGGAUAAUAGUAAUUUGUUUUCCAGAAUACUCACCAAAUAAAUAGCCUUGGAAGACCCUCUGUGCUCCAGUAUCCACCUACUCUCUGGUAGCAAGUCAUCCACUUAUGUACAACUUACAUUUUUGUUUUGUUGUUACAAUUCUGACUGUGAUAGGAUUUUUAUGCCAUGCUUUAUUGCCCUCCCCAUUUGACAUCUUUAUUCCCAUGCAUUACAAAAUGUAUGUUUAGCAGAGAUUUCAGCAGUCAACAUUAUUUCUUUCAAUGUUCCCAGUUUUUCUUCCCUAAUCCACACAUCUGUUUGCUGUUUUUUGCUCAUCCUAGAAAGUAGGAGGGCAAGACACACUCAGAAAAACAUGACUUUAUUCCCUUAGGCAGUAUUUUCAUUUAACAUUUUUGCCCAUUCUUACCUCUCUCCUUCCCCUCUUUCCUUCCUUCAUUUCUUCCUUCCUUCUUUCCUUCAUUCUUUCCCUCUCUCUCUCAAUUACAGAUUACUUAAAUAUCUUCCAAUUCCCCAUCAAUAUUUUGUACAUCUCUCUCAGUGACUUUUUCAAAGUGAAGAUAUGUCCUAUGCCCAGUGACUCUCCCAGUUGAAGGGUUUAAGCCUCUGAUUCUGUCGAUAUGCAAGCUGCAUUGUGUCAUGUCUCCUUUGUGGCCUCUCACAGCUACACCAGCCACUGUCUCAAUGGGUCACUUUUGGCUUUACUAUGAGGCUCUUCCCUUUAGUAAAUGGCACACCUCACUUCCUUCUCCUGUAUCUCUUCCCAGGGGCAUAGAACCAAGCCACAUUCCCUUGGAAGCACAGUCUCUGGAAACUGUCACCAGAGUCAUGACUCCCCACUUACUAUUUCUGGACCUUUAAUAAAUGCCCUGUCUCUUAGUGCUUCAGUUUCCUCAUCUGUGAAGCUGGCUAAUACAUAGGCAAAAACUAAAUGAACAGCAAGGCCUGGUGGCAUGCCUGGAUUUCCAGCACUCAGCAGCCUGAAGCAGGAAGAUCACAAGUUCAAGGACAGCCUGGGCUUCCUAGUGAGUUCCAGGCUACCUUGGGCUACAUAACAAUACCUUGCCUCAAAAAAUAAAACAAAAAUUGACAACAAGAACAACAAAAAGAAACUAAAUGAACAAAUGCAUACAAAUAAUUUAUUAUGUGAGUACAUAAUAAAGUAUUAUGACUACACUCAGAAAGUUCACAAGACAUUAAGGAUGCAUUUCACUCAGCUGAAGGACAAUGGUAAGACAAUCUCCUGUGUUAAAAGAUUGCAAAUUGAAGGAAACCUUCCAAAGCCAAAUAUGAAUAAUUUGGGGAAUAAUAAUUAUUUAAGAUCAGUCAGUUUUUAUUCCCUUUGUUGAUGGGAUAAUCAACACAUAGUUUUUGAAAUUCAGGAUGACAAUGAAAUGCACUUAAAUGAAUGAAUACUUACAUGGGAAAGAAGAAAUGGAGUGUAAAGUAGCUAUUAUGUAAUGACUUGAUUGCUUUUUCAAUUGCAGUUAAUUAUUAGUGGGUAUAUUACCAAUAUUUAAAAUUCUCCAGAUAAUUCUCUUUGUAUGUAUUAAAAGACUAGAAAGAAUGAAAAUUAAAUAUGGCACAAAACCUGAUGUUUCAUAUAAAUACUGCAUCACUUAGACCAGGUGUUUCAGAGAUUGUUGUGUCCAGGACCAAUUGCUUGUGUUUAAGGAUGAAGUACAUAGUGUCUGCUCCUCAGCUCUGCAGAGGAUCUCAGACUCUGUGAUGAACAGGAGAAAGCAGGUGUUUUCAGCUGAUUGUGGAGUGCUGUUUAGAUCUCUGUUUGACUCUGCUUCUAUUUUAGGCAAAGGUCUAUUUAAAGCAAUGGUGUUGGACAACCAGAAGUUCUGAUGCUAUGAGACACAGAGGAUUUCAUAUUUGGGAACAGAGUGUAAAGGCUGGGAUUCAGUGAAGUGCAACUUUAAAUAAAAGCAGGCUCCAUUCCUGAAAGUCUGGUGGAACAGUGGAGAUAUCAGGCAGGGACCUCUUUGGCCUUCCCAGCAGCCAGGGUUGGAGUCCUCCCCAGGUCAAAUCUCAGUUGUUGGCUUCAUUGAACUUGCUCUGAAGAAUCUGGAGCAAGUCACUGUCCCUUUGGUUUAUUGCUCAAAGUAAGACCCUGUUGAAAGUGAAAGGGAUUCUGCCAUAGCCUGGAUUUGUCCACAGGAAUAGUAGAAAUAAGGAAUGUUACUGGCAACCAAUAUAUUGUGAUUACCCUAAAGUUGGGACAAGGAGAGAUGGAGGAAACCAAAAAGGGAUAAAUAGAUGUCAUUGCAAAUUAUUGCUCCUCCUUUCUUUGUGUCUAUCUCUCUCUUACAUGUUGAUGACUUUCUGCUACUUUAAUAGGUUUAAGUGUCUGUGUAGUGUUCAGAAGACCUAUGCAAUAAUAAAAAUUCCAACAUAAGAAAAUAAGCUCCAUUCUGUCAGAGUGUCAUUAUGUUAUAAAUUACAUUAUAAUAAUUUCAUCUGGAGAAACUGCAUUGUUUGUGAAAUCCCUGGGUAUCAAGAUGAUUAUUACGCACAGUAAUGCACAGUAUUUUACAUUCAUGGUAAAUACGUACUAUCAGAAGAUGUAGCUACAUUUUUGUGGGUCUCAGCAUAAUUUGUUGCUUUUUCUUUUGAGCUUUCUUAUUAGAAGUAAUGUGAGGGUUGAAACAUAAAUUUAACUUUGUUUCCUAUCUGUGAAAUCUGGCAGUCUGUUUUUAACCAUUUUCAAUAAAUAGUUAAUGAUACUCUAUAUUAUAUAAUGCUCUAACCCAGUUAGAGUUUGCAUGUAACACAAAAACAAAUGAGAUAUGAACCUGUGCUCAAAGUACUGGCCAUCUACCAAAAUGUCUUCCACGUUUUUAAAUGGCAAUUAAAUCUUAAUAUUUAUGCUUGGUAGAACAUAUUAUUUUCUGCUAUGAUGUACUUAUGUCAUUAUCUAUCUAUUUAAAUGAAAUUUAAACAUGUAUCUUUCCUCACGUCCACUCCUGAUCAUAUCCUGGGCAUCUUUUCGGUGAAGCUGAGUCAUCCAAUGGUGGCUAUUCCCGAACACGAAACUCUUGAUUCUAAAGAGCAAUGAAGUUGGAGUCAAAGAGAAAAUGCAGGCUGGUGAAGUUUUUUUUAGGAUGCCGGCGCUAACCACUUGCGAGAUUUAACUUUGAUUUUUGUCAGAAUGAGUGCUCCCUUUAUGAACUGCAGCACAGCAGAGGAACUAAAAAAAAAAAAGUUUGCUGCAGAUAUAUAGUAUCACAGUACA